rnacentral:rRNA from 1 species
GUUCCUACGGGUCGCAUCAUUUUUUUAUAUUUCACAAUUUUUUAAACCCUUAUGCAUCGACGCCGCGUGAGCGAUGAAGUAUUUCGGUAUGUAAAGCUCUAUCAGCAGGGAAGAAAAUGACGGUACCUGACUAAGAAGCCCCGGCUAACUACGUGCCAGCAGCCGCGGUAAUACGUAGGGGGCAAGCGUUAUCCGGAUUUACUGGGUGUAAAGGGAGCGUAGACGGCAGUGCAAGUCUGAAGUGAAAGGCAAGGGCUCAACCCUUGGACUGCUUUGGAAACUGUGCUGCUCGAGUGUCGGAGAGG